AGUGUUUCCAGAAUGGCGGCAGCGAAGGAUGUGGAUACCCCGAGCGGCACCAACAGCGGCAAGGGCAAGAAGCGCUUUGAAGUGAAAAGCUGGAAAGCAGUAGCCCUCUGGUCCUGGGACAUUGAGGUUGAUAACUGUGCCAUCUGCAGGAACCACGCUAUGGAUCUUUGCAUAGAAUGUCAGGCGAACCAGGCAUCUGCCCCUUCUCAAGAGUGCACCGUUGCAUGGGGAGUCUGUAAUCAUGCUUUUCACUUCCACUGCAUCUCUCGCUGGCUCAAAACACGGCAAGUGUGUCCGCUGGACAGCACCGAGUGGGAAUUCCAAAAGUACGGGCACUAGAAAAAGAAUAUUCUCCAUCAAGCUCAACUGUUUUGUUAUUCAUUUAAUGACUUGCCCUCC